rnacentral:lncRNA from 1 species
GUUCUCCCUACACCUCACCAACUUCAGCCUGCACCUCCUUUUUUUCUUAUAUUUUCAACGGUAUCCCUAUUAAAUAAUUUUUCUCUGACGCGUUUCAUAUUUACAAAAUCAUCAUCCCUUUCUCUUCCCAUACUUUGCCGCAUUUCAUGUCUGAAAUGCUACACCCCCCUUUCUUUCUCUCUCUGGCGCUUCUCCAUCCUCCCCUCCCCCCUC